AACGAACGCUGGCGGCAUGCCUAACACAUGCAAGUCGAACGGGCAGGGGCAACCCUGUCAGUGGCGGACGGGUGAGUAACGCGUGGGGACCUGCCUCGAAGUUCGGAAUAACCGCGGGAAACUGCGGCUAAUACCGGAUGUGGCCUGAGGGCCAAAGGGGAAACUCGCUUCGAGAGGGGCCCGCGUCCGAUUAGCUAGUUGGCGGGGUAACGGCCCAUCAAGGCGACGAUCGGUAGCUGGUCUGAGAGGAUGAUCAGCCACACUGGGACUGAGACACGGCCCAGACUCCUACGGGAGGCAGCAGUGGGGAAUAUUGGACAAUGGGGGCAACCCUGAUCCAGCAAUGCCGCGUGAGUGAUGAAGGCCUUCGGGUUGUAAAGCUCUUUUGGCGGGGACGAUGAUGACGGUACCCGCAGAAUAAGCCCCGGCUAACUUCGUGCCAGCAGCCGCGGUAAUACGAAGGGGGCUAGCGUUGUUCGGAAUUACUGGGCGUAAAGGGCGCGUAGGCGGUCCUGAUCGUCGGAUGUGAAAGGCCUGGGCUCAACCUGGGAAUGGCAUCCGAUACGGCGGGACUGGAGUGUGGGAGAGGUUGGUGGAAUUCCCAGUGUAGAGGUGAAAUUCGUAGAUAUUGGGAAGAACACCGGUGGCGAAGGCGGCCAACUGGACCACAACUGACGCUGAGGCGCGAAAGCGUGGG
rnacentral:rRNA from 1 species